UGGGGAAUAUUGCACAAUGGGCGCAAGCCUGAUGCAGCAACGCCGCGUGAACGAUGAAGGUCUUCGGAUCGUAAAGCUCUGUUGCAGGGGAAGAUAAUGACGGUACCUUGUGAGGAAGCCCCGGCUAACUACGUGCCAGCAGCCGCGGUAAUACGUAGGGGGCUAGCGUUAUCCGGAUUUACUGGGCGUAAAGGGUGCGUAGGUGGUCUUUCAAGUCGGUGGUUAAAGGCUACGGCUCAACCGUAGUUAGCCUCCGAAACUGGAAGACUUGAGUGCAGGAGAGGAAAGUGGAAUUCCCAGUGUAGCGGUGAAAUGCGUAGAUAUUGGGAGGAACACCAGUAGCGAAGGCGGCUUUCUGGACUGCAACUGACACUGAGGCACGAAAGCGUGGGUAGCAAACAGG
rnacentral:rRNA from 1 species